GCUAAACUAUAAGCAAUUAAAAAAGCAUGCUCCAUUUUGUUCAUAUACAACACAAUCUAGUCCUUAAUAUUCGUUUUGAGCUUAAAAUCUUUGGUAUACUUUCUUGAUCACGACUUGUGGUUAUUAAACUGUGUGUUUUCUGUAUGGUGUAACGAAUCUGCAUCUUGAAUAGUUUCAGCAUAACACAAGAAUCACUCGUGGCUCGAGCUAAAUGUAUGUAGCGUAAUAAAAGCUGCUGCUGCUCUUACAUCGCUUGCAAUGUGCUGCUAAACAUCUCGUGGUUGUCACUCUUGGUAGAUAUGUGAUUGUACCAAUGUGCUAUUCCUGUUGAUAUUUGUAAUUGUUGGGAAAUGUGAAGAAGGAAUCAAAUUUAGUAAGCAGUUGAUUUUUGUGAUAUUGUGUUUGUGAUUUUGUAUCCAUGAAUGUAUCCUUUGUUUUAGAUUUGGCAUCUUUGUAUGUUC